rnacentral:RNase_P_RNA from 1 species
CGGCCGCGUCGGGGUCCGAAGGACCUCGCCGAGGAACGUCCGGGCUCCGCAGGGCAGGGUGGUAGGUAACGCCUACCUGGGGUGACCCACGGGAAAGUGCCACAGAAAGCAGACCGCCGGUCGCUCGCGGCCGGUAAGGGGGAAACGGUGGUGUAAGAGACCACCAGCGCCCAGGGUGACCUGGGCGGCUCGGUAAACCCCACCCGGAGCAAGGUCAAGAGGGAGCGCCCCGGCGCCCCGGCGCUCCUGCGCGGAUGAUCGAGGGCUGCCCGCCCGAGUCCGCGGGUGGACCGCACGAGGCCGGUUGUCUGGUCAGGUGGCCG